UUGUAGCAAUACAGUGGAAGUUCUAGUGGCGAACGGGUGCGUAACACGUGGGCAAUCUGCCCUAAAGUGGGGGAUAGCUCGGCGAAAGCCGGAUUAAUACCGCAUGUGAUCAGGGGAGACAUCUUCCCAAAAUUCAAAGUCGGGGCAACCUGACGCUUUUUGAGGAGCCCGCGGCCUAUCAGCUAGUUGGUGAGGUAACGGCUCACCAAGGCGUUGACGGGUAGCUGGUCUGAGAGGACGACCAGUCACACUGGAACUGAGACACGGUCCAGACACCUACGGGUGGCAGCAGUCGAGAAUUUUUCUCAAUGGGGGAAACCCUGAAGGAGCGACGCCGCGUGGAGGAUGAAGGUCUUCGGGUUGUAAACUCCUGUCAUUUGGGAACAAUGCUUACGUAUUAACUGUACGUGAGUUGAUAGUACCAGAAGAGGAAGAGACGGCUAACUCUGUGCCAGCAGCCGCGGUAAUACAGAGGUCUCAAGCGUUGUUCGGAUUCAUUGGGCGUAAAGGGUGUGUAGGUGGCGCGCUAAGUCGGGUGUGAAAUUUCGGAGCUUAACUCCGAAACUGCAUUCGAUACUGGCGUGCUUGAGGACUGGAGAGGAGACUGGAAUUCACGGUGUAGCA
rnacentral:rRNA from 1 species